rnacentral:rRNA from 1 species
ACAUCCAAGGAAGGCAGCAGGCGCGCAAAUUACCCAAUCCCGACACGGGGAGGUAGUGACAAUAAAUACUGAUACAGGGCUCUUUUGGGUCUUGUAAUUGGAAUGAGUACAAUUUAAAUCCCUUAACGAGGAACAAUUGGAGGGCAAGUCUGGUGCCAGCAGCCGCGGUAAUUCCAGCUCCAAUAGCGUAUAUUAAAGUUGUUGCAGUUAAAAAGCUCGUAGUUGAACCUUGGGCCUGGCUGGCCGGUCCGCCUCACCGCGUGUACUGGUCCGACCGGGUCUUUCCUUCUGGGGAGCCGCAUGCCCUUCACUGGGUGUGUCGGGGAACCAGGACUUUUACUUUGAAAAAAUUAGAGUGUUCAAAGCAGGCCUAUGCUCGAAUACAUUAGCAUGGAAUAAUAGAAUAGGACGUGUGGUUCUAUUUUGUUGGUUUCUAGGACGCCGUAAUGAUUAAUAGGGAUAGUCGGGGGCAUCAGUAUUCAAUCGUCAGAGGUGAAAUUCUUGGAUUGAUUGAAGACUAACUACUGCGAAAG